UACAGAGACUGCAAGCGUUAUUCGGAUUCACUGGGCGUAAAGGGUGCGCAGGCGGGUGGGUGUGUGAGAUGUGAAAUCCCGAGGCUUAACCUCGGAACUGCGUCUGAAACUACUCGACUAGAGUACUGGAGAGGGAAACGGAAUUCACGGUGUAGCAGUGAAAUGCGUAGAUAUCGUGAGGAACACCAGAGGCGAAGGCGGUUUCCUGGACAGUUACUGACGCUCAGGCACGAAAGCAUGGGGAGCAAAAGGG
rnacentral:rRNA from 1 species